UACGUAGGGUGCAAGCGUUAAUCGGAAUUACUGGGCGUAAAGCGUGCGCAGGCGGUUCGCUAAGACCAAUGUGAAAUCCCCGGGCUUAACCUGGGAACUGCAUUGGUGACUGGCGGGCUAGAGUAUGGCAGAGGGGGGUAGAAUUCCACGUGUAGCAGUGAAAUGCGUAGAGAUGUGGAGGAAUACCGAUGGCGAAGGCAGCCCCCUGGGCCAAUACUGACGCUCAUGCACGAAAGCGUGGGGAGCAAACAGG
rnacentral:rRNA from 1 species